rnacentral:rRNA from 1 species
UGGGGAAUAUUGCACAAUGGAGGAAACUCUGAUGCAGCGACGCCGCGUGAACGACGAAGGCCUUCGGGUCGUAAAGUUCUGUCCUUGGGGACGAUAAUGACGGUACCCAAGGAGGAAGCCCCGGCUAACUACGUGCCAGCAGCCGCGGUAAUACGUAGGGGGCGAGCGUUGUCCGGAAUUAUUGGGCGUAAAGGGUUCGUAGGCGGUCUUUUAAGUCAGAUGUGAAAGACAUAGGCUUAACCUAUGUAAGCAUUUGAAACUGAAGGACUUGAGUUAAGGAGAGGAAAGUGGAAUUCCUAGUGUAGCGGUGAAAUGCGUAGAUAUUAGGAGGAAUACCAGUGGCGAAGGCGACUUUCUGGACUUAUACUGACGCUGAGGAACGAAAGCGUGGGGAGCAAACAGG